rnacentral:rRNA from 1 species
UAGGGAAUCUUCGGCAAUGGGGGGAACCCUGACCGAGCAACGCCGCGUGAGUGAAGAAGGUUUUCGGAUCGUAAAGCUCUGUUGUUAAGGAAGAACGAGUGUGAGAAUGGAAAGUUCAUACUGUGACGGUACUUAACCAGAAAGGGACGGCUAACUACGUGCCAGCAGCCGCGGUAAUACGUAGGUCCCGAGCGUUGUCCGGAUUUAUUGGGCGUAAAGCGAGCGCAGGCGGUUAGAUAAGUCUGAAGUUAAAGGCAGUGGCUCAACCAUUGUAGGCUUUGGAAACUGUUUAACUUGAGUGCAGAAGGGGAGAGUGGAAUUCCAUGUGUAGCGGUGAAAUGCAUAGAUAUAUGGAGGAACACCGGUGGCGAAAGCGGCUCUCUGGUCUGUAACUGACGCUGAGGCUCGAAAGCGUGGGGAGCGAACAGG